AUACGGAGGGUGCAAGCGUUAUUCGGAAUCACUGGGCGUAAAGGACGCGUAGGCGGGUUUGUAAGUCAGGUGUGAAAUCCUACAGCUUAACUGUAGAACUGCACUUGAAACUACAGACCUAGAGUAUGGGAGGGGCAGAUGGAAUUAGUGGUGUAGGGGUAAAAUCCGUAGAUAUCACUAGGAAUACCGAAAGCGAAGGCGAUCUGCUGGAACAUAACUGACGCUAAGGCGUGAAAGCGUGGGGAGCAAACAGGAUUAGAUACCCCAGUAGUCC
rnacentral:rRNA from 1 species